UUCUGGCUUUCUGAUUUCCUUAGCAACCGUCUCCUGGUUAUGUGUCUGGUGCUCUCCCUGCACCAGUACCUAUGGAACCUGAUUUCUACCAAAUUUGGCAAAAGCAUAGAAAUGGCAAAGCUACUGUCAUCCUGCAAGUUCUGUGUAGAUGGGUGAUUUCAUAGAGGAGAGUGAGAAGCUGCACUUUUACCCUCCCAGAGAAAAAGGCAAGACUGCCUCCAGGCCUUACCUUCUAGGUCUGGCAGCCAGCACAGCCAGGAACCUUGUGGCACUCUGUUGGGAGCCCACAGGAGAAACAGAGCAUGUGUAACACCUGGACUUUUAAAAAAGGUAACUUCAGCUUUCUACUAUGACAAUGAGUGAUUACAUUUGGAAGCUGUCCCUGAGAUUCUCUUGAGCUGAAGCCUGCUCACUGGACCCGGUUCUUCACUGCUACUGGUGCAAGUCAGGAAUAGCUCCUGAAACCCCUGAAUUCUGCUAAUGCAAAACACACCGAGGAGACUGGAAACAACAGAGCGAUUGGUAGGCAGAGAUGGCUAUUUCUUCACAGACCUGCAGUCUCCUUUAUCUCUUUCUUGCUGAAGGAGGUGAUGAUAAUCACUGCAGGAACAGAUAAGAAGAGCAAAGACAGAUAUUGUAACGGGAUCUGUUCUCCCCAGCCAUUACUCUGAUCAACUGCCUGAAAAUUACUCUCCAAAGUGGUAAUAAGCUGAAAAUGUUAGGCUCUGCUUUUAAAUAAAGCAAUAGCACCAGAAGAACAAUUGUGAUUGUUAAAAUACCAAGGCUCCUCUAAAUGAAUGUAUCUGUGAUAUGACACAGUAUGAGGUCAGAUGAAACAACUGUAACCAAGGAGGAACACGGUGAGAGAACAAUGAAAACUUCGAGAUCUGCUGAAAAAUAUGUUUUUUCAAGUGGA